UCCCUGAUGGUCCAGUGGCUAAGACUCCGUGCUUCCAACGCAGGGGACCCAGGUUUGAACCCUGGUUGGGGAA